rnacentral:rRNA from 1 species
AGUCAACACGCCCAGGGGACGUGGAUAACCUCGGGAAACUGAGGAUAAACCGCGAUAGGUCAUAAUGUCUGGAAUGAUUUAUGGCUAAAAUCUAUAUGGCCUCUGGAUUGGACUGCGGCCGAUCAGGCUGUUGGUGAGGUAAUGGCCCACCAAACCUAAAACCGGUACGGGCUCUGAGAGGAGAAGCCCGGAGAUGGGCACUGAGACAAGGGCCCAGGCCCUAUGGGGCGCAGCAGGCGCGAAAACUCUGCAAUAGGCGAAAGCUUGACAGGGUUAUUCUGAGUGAUUUCCGCUAAGGAAGUCUUUUGGCACCUCUAAAAAUAGUGCAGAAUAAGGGGUGGGCAAGCCUGGUGUCAGCCGCCGCGGUAAUACCAGCACCCCGAGUGGUCGGGACGAUUAUUGGGCCUAAAGCAUCCGUAGCCGGUUCUACAAGUCUUCCGUUAAAUCCAUCUGCUUAACAGAUGGGCUGCGGAGGAUACUAUAGAGCUAGGAGGCGGGAGAGGCAAGCGGUACUUAGUGGGUAGGGGUAAAAUCCGUUGAUCCACUGAAGACCACCAGUGGCGAAGGCGGCUUGCCAGAACGCGCUCGACGGUGAGGGAUGAAAGCUGGGGGAGCAAACCGGAUUAGAUACCCGGGUAGUCCCAGCUGUAAACGAUGCAGACUCGGUGAUGAAUAGGCUUCGUGCCUUUUCAGUGCCGCAGGGAAGCCGUUAAGUCUGCCGCCUGGGGAGUACGGUCGCAAGACUGAAACUUAA